AGAGUUUGAUCCUGGCUCAGGACGAACGCUGGCGGCGUGCUUAACACAUGCAAGUCGAACGAGGUCCAUCCGGUGGCAACACCGGUGAAGAUCUAGUGGCGAACGGGUGAGUAACACGUGAGCAACCUGCCCCGAAGACUGGGAUAACAGCGGGAAACCGCUGCUAAUACCGGAUACCCCCACCGGGCCACAUGGCCUGAUGAGGAAAUAGAUUCUGCUUCGGGAGGGACUCGCGGCCUAUCAGCUUGUUGGUGGGGUAACGGCCCACCAAGGCGACGACGGGUAGCUGGUCUGAGAGGACGAUCAGCCACACUGGGACUGAGACACGGCCCAGACUCCUACGGGAGGCAGCAGUGGGGAAUAUUGCGCAAUGGGCGAAAGCCUGACGCAGCAACGCCGCGUGAGGGAUGAAGGCCUUCGGGUUGUAAACCUCUUUCGAGCAGGGACGAUAAUGACGGUACCUGCAGAAGAAGCUCCGGCCAACUACGUGCCAGCAGCCGCGGUAAUACGUAGGGAGCGAGCGUUGUCCGGAUUCAUUGGGCGUAAAGAGCUCGUAGGCGGCUUGGUAAGUCGGAUGUGAAACCUCCAGGCUCAACCUGGAAUCGCCAUCCGAUACUGCCAUGGCUAGAGUCCGGUAGGGGCCCACGGAACUCCUGGUGUAGCGGUGAAAUGCGCAGAUAUCAGGAAGAACACCGGUGGCGAAGGCGGUGGGCUGGGCCGGAACUGACGCUGAGGAGCGAAAGCGUGGGGAGCGAACAGGAUUAGAUACCCUAGUAGUCC
rnacentral:rRNA from 1 species